GUGGGGAAUUUUGGACAAUGGGCGAAAGCCUGAUCCAGCAAUGCCGCGUGUGUGAAGAAGGCCUUCGGGUUGUAAAGCACUUUUGUCCGGAAAGAAAUGGCUCUGGUUAAUACCUGGGGUCGAUGACGGUACCGGAAGAAUAAGGACCGGCUAACUACGUGCCAGCAGCCGCGGUAAUACGUAGGGUCCAAGCGUUAAUCGGAAUUACUGGGCGUAAAGCGUGCGCAGGCGGUUGUGCAAGACCGAUGUGAAAUCCCGAGCUUAACUUGGGAAUUGCAGUGGUGACUGCACGGCUAGAGUGUGUCAGAGGGGGGUAGAAUUCCACGUGUAGCAGUGAAAUGCGUAGAGAUGUGGAGGAAUACCGAUGGCGAAGGCAGCCCCCUGGGAUAACACUGACGCUCAUGCACGAAAGCGUGGGGAGCAAACAGGAUUAGAAACCCGUGUAGUCC
rnacentral:rRNA from 1 species